rnacentral:rRNA from 1 species
UCAAACUGAAGAUGGCGACCGGCGCACGGGUGAGUAACACGUACCCAACCUGCCGAUAACUCCGGAAUAGCCUUUCGAAAGAAAGAUUAAUACCGGAUGGCAUACGAAUAUCGCAUGAUAUUUUUAUUAAAGAAUUUCGGUUAUCGAUGGGGAUGCGUUCCAUUAGUUUGUUGGCGGGGUAACGGCCCACCAAGACUACGAUGGAUAGGGGUUCUGAGAGGAAGGUCCCCCACAUUGGAACUGAGACACGGUCCAAACUCCUACGGGAGGCAGCAUG